rnacentral:lncRNA from 1 species
CAGGAAAAUCACAAAGGGCAUUUGUGGCAAGUUGAAAUUACCAACACCCAGACAUCAAAUGACAAAAUUGUUGGAACCUGAAGGUGGCACAGAAGAUCCAACAAGGGACAGUAUCCUAUGAAGAUAAAGGAUGUUUGAAGACAUUCUGCCAGCAGUCACAGCACACAAGGAGUCAGAUGAGUUACUCAUGUAAGAAAAGCGUCCAAUGUAAGUCGCCUCACAGUAACUGUCAGAGGCUUCUUAGUGAGGAGACGCAGCACACACACAGACAGCGCAGGAAGUCACACCUGACUGAACAGAGAAGUCACGAAGGGGAGAAGCCAUGUGAAAGCUCAGGACGUGGGAAAGCUUCCCACACCAAGCCUCAGCGUCAGGCCAAUCAUAGUGAUGAGAAGCCCUACAAAUGUCUAGAAUGUGGGAAAUAUUUCUACUACAAGUCACAAGUCAUUGAGCAUCAAAGAAGUCAUACAGGCGAGAAGCCUUAUGAGUGUACAGAAUGUGGGAAAUCUUUCAGCUAUAAAUCCCAUCUCACUGUACAUCAUAGAAGUCACACAGGUGAGAAGCGUCAUGAAUGUACAGAAUGUAGAAAAGUAUUUUACUAUAAGUCCCAACUCACACAGCACCAGAAAAGUCAUACAGGGGAGAAGCACUAUGAAUGUAUGCAAUGCCUGGAAGCUUUCUUCUUCAAAAAACAACUUACACAUCAUCAGAAAACUCAUAGUGCUGAAAAGUGCUUUAAAUGUAAAGAAUGUGGUAAAACUUUCAACUGGAGGUCCAACCUUGCUGUUCAUCAGAAAAUUCAUAAUGGGGAGAAGCCCUUUGAAUGUAAACAAUGUGGAAAAGCAUUUUACUGCAAGUCCCACCUCACUGUGCAUCAGAGAACUCAUAUAAAUAAAAAGCUCUAUCAAUGUUCACAGUGCAGGAAAGCAUUCUACUCUCAGACACAGCUUGCUCUACAUCAGAGAAUUCACACUGAUGAGAAGCCCUAUGGAUGUAAGCAAUGUGACAAAACAUUCUACAGCAAGUCUGGGCUUACUGCACAUCAGAAAACUCACAUGUAAAGAGUGUGGGAAAGCAUUCUAUAACAAGUACUUGCUCAUUGAGCAUCACAGAGUGCACACAGGUGAAAAGCCCUAUCAAUGUACAGAAUGCAAGAAAGCAUUUUUCUCCAAGAAACAUCUUUCUCUACAUCAGAAAACUCAUGCAAGUGAGAAGUCAUUUCAUUGUGCAGAGUGUGGGAAAGCUUUCUCCUGGAUGUCACACCUCACUCAGCAUCAGAGGAUUCACACAGGUGAGAAGCCCUAUGCAUGUGAACAGUGUAGAAAGACUUACUACUUUAAGAGACAACUCACUCGACAUCAAAGAACUCAUACACACGAGAAGUCAUGAGGUAUAAAUAAUGCAGGAAAAUGCAACCUUUCUGUGUAUGAAAGAGCUCAAACAAGGGAGAAUCCCUGUGGUGAGUGUACCAGAUACAGAAAAUUUUCUCCCUCAUGCAUACCUUACUCCAAGUCAGAUGAGAAAGCCUAAGAGUGUAAAAAUGUAUGAACUCUUACUCAAGUGUGUAAUCAGAAAGCUUGUAGGUGAGGAUGAUUAAAAUAAAAACUGGAAAUUUUCUAGUGUGAGGCAGGUGUUAAUCAGUCAAUGAACAUAUACUGGAGUCUGUCUGCAAACAUUGUUGGAAGGCCACAUAUACUGUCUUGUAAGAGAAUUCAUACAUGGGCUGUCUCCUGUGAAGUUAAAACUAUAUAAAGGCUUUCUCAUUCUUCAAAUUCCCUUAGUAUAUUGUAGGUGAGUAUUGUAGAGUGUAAAGAAGAGAGGAAUGCUUUCCAGCACUAAGCCCCAUCAAUUCCUACCUGAAAGCUUUUACAAGUGUGGGCCCCAUGAAAUUAAUGAAAAUAGACACUUUUUUUGUUUGUUUUUUGUUUUUGUUUUUUUGUUUUUUGUUUUUUUUCAAGACAGGGUUUCUCUGUAUAGCCCAGGCUGUCCUGGAACUCACUUUGUAGACCAGGCUGGCCUCGAACUCAGAAAUCCGCCUGCCUCUGCCUCCCAAGUGCUGAGAUUAAAGGUGUGUGCCACCACAGCCUGGCGAAAAUAGACACAUUUUGAGGCAGAAAUUGGGCCUCUGCAUUAGCAACUUCUCAUGUGAUAUGCCAAGUAGAGCAAAAAGCAAAGUGUGAUAUAUUACUCAUGCUUUCAAUUCUAGGCCCUGGUACUGCAGGUUUGGUGCAACUCAGUGACUGAAGAUUGAACUUAGCAACCUAGGCAGGUUCCACUUGAUAAAAAGCAGAAAAGCCUUCUUGAAGUGCUCAUGUCAUAUGACGACAUUGUAACCCAUGUGUUUCAAACCCUAAGAGUCUAAAGAGUACCAAAACUUUUAAAGUGAACUUGGAAUCCAUCUGGCAUCAGAAACCCAACAGAGCUGAUUAAACCGAGGAUUCUACUAUGAAAACAUACUUCUGUAGUUCAUGUGACUUUUUUUUUUUUUUACGAGAAUUCACCAACUAUUAGUGUAAGUAUUCUAGAAACAGCAUUCAGCCAUGCUUCCCCAGGCUAGGGCCUGCCCUCAAUUUUGUUCAUGGGAUGAAGUGAUCACUGGAACCUGUUCACGCAUAUCAAAGCUACAAGGUAUAUAAUGGAGUUACCUGCCUAACUCAGAAGCUCAAGCGCCCUGCUCUUAUGAGCCUCUUAGCGAUUUCUGCUUUCUCAGCAAGACCCAAAGUUGUUUUCUUCCUUUCUGGAUCCUGUAAUACACUUUUACGUGUUCUGUUUUCCUAUCCUCUUCACAUCUGUAAAGCUGAACUUAUUUCAGGAAUCCACAUGGACCUCUUCUCCAGGAAGACACAGGACUUUACCUGGAACACCGUUAAUACUUACGGAGUUACACUACCCAUUCCAUUGCUCCAGUCAGGGAAGUCUUGCAAACACUUGAUUUCCUGUAGAGAUCUUAAGGUUUCUUUUAAUCCUGAUUACAGUUGUUACAAUCAUUAUCUUCCUUCAUAUAAAUUAAACUAUGUUGCCAAUUUU